AAAGGAAUUGACGGGAGCCCGCACAAGCAGUGGAGUAUGUGGUUUAAUUCGAGGCAACGCGAAGAACCUUACCAGGACUUGACAUCUUGAGAAGGCUGGGUAAUGCCGGCUGUGCCCUUUUAGGGAACUCAAAGACAGGUGGUGCAUGGUUGUCGUCAGCUCGUGUCGUGAGAUGUUGGGUUAAGUCCCGCAACGAGCGCAACCCUUACGGUUAGUUGCUACGCAAGAGCACUCUAGCCGGACUGCCGUUGACAAAACGGAGGAAGGUGGGGAUGACGUCAAAUCCUCAUGCCCCUUAUGUUCUGGGCUACACACGUACUACAAUGGCGUCUAACAACGGGGAGCGAAGGAGCGAUCCGGAGCAAAUCCCAAAAAGUCGCCUCAGUUCAGAUUGCAGGCUGCAACUCGCCUGCAUGAAGUCGGAAUUGCUAGUAAUCGCGGAUCAGCAUGCCGCGGUGAAUACGUUCCCGGGCUUUGUACACACCGCCCGU
rnacentral:rRNA from 1 species